rnacentral:lncRNA from 1 species
UUACCCUUCAUCAUUGCUUCGAAAGUCCAUAUCCUCAAUUAUUGCCGAGAUCUGUCUUUCACAAGCAUCACUAGUCUCAAGGAAUUGCUUCUGAUUUUCAGAAAUGGCUGUAGUUUCUAAAAGUUUGUGGGUAAAUCUAAUGCCAUUCAAAGGAUUUUUCAUCUCUUGUCGCAUGUACACUAAGUGUUUAAGUUUCGUAAACAACUCUUUGUCUUCUUGCUUGUGUUCUUCACUAGCUUGCUGCAUGUCAGGCACAAUAACCUGUAAGAAGCAGAAGCAACCAAUUAUGUUCCCAUCAGCAGCAGUCCGCUUGUUUGCCACUAUGUAAAC